CAGAAUUCUCAAAAGAGGAAACUCAAUGGCUGAGAAACAUUGAAAGAACCUUAGUCAUCAGGGAAAUGUCAAUCAAAACUGCAUUGUGGUUUUGUCUCACACCCAGCAGAUUGGCUAAGAUCAAUAAAGCAAACGCUGGCAAGGAUGUGAAGUUAUCAGAACAAUCAUCCUUUGCUGGUAUGAGUGCAAAUGUGUCCAGCCAGUAUGGAGACCAAUGUGGGGUUUCUCAUGAAACUUGAACUGCCUCGAGAUCCAGCUAUACCACUGUAGUGGUUUGUAUAUGCUCGGCCAUGGGGCCUAUACCCAAAGGAUGCUCCAUCCAACCUGAGAGACGUUUGCUCAACCACGUUCACUGCUGCUCUUCAUGAUAGCUCCAAGUUGGAAAACAACCUCGACGUCUGUCACAGAUCAACGGAUGAGAAAAUGUGGUACAUUUACACAAUGGAAUAUUAUUCAGCCAUUUAAAAGCUGAAAUAAUGGGCCGGAGAGAUGGCUCAGUGAUUAAGAGCACUGGCUGCUCUUCCAGAGAUCCUGAGUUCAAUUCUCAGCAACCACGUGAUGGCUCACAACCCUCUGUAAUGAAAUCUGAUGCCCUCUUCUGGUGUGUCUAAACAACUACAGUGUACUUACAUAUAAUAAAUAAGUAAAUUUAAAAAAAUGAAAAUUAGAGGCAAAUGGAAGAAACUAGAAAAUACUCAUCCUGAGUGAGGUAACCGAGACCCAGAAAGACAAAUAUGGUAUGUAUUAGCUUACAUGUGAAUAUUAGCUGUUAAGUCAAUGAUAAUAGAGGUGCAAUCUAUACAAUACCACAGUAGUUAGGUAUAGAAUAAGGGACUGGAGAGUACAGUAGAUCUCCCUAGGAAAGAGAAAUAGAAAAAAUAGUUAUGUUUAGAUGGAGGAAGGAGACUAGAACAGGAGGCUCAAAUGAAGUAGGGAAGGAAAUAGAGGGAUGAGGAAGGGAAUAUGAGGAGAGAAAAGUAUCUUUUAUUUGCCUGAAGUAAUUGUUACCACAGAGGCUUACUGCUGAAUAAAGCUUACCCUUUCUAGUUCUUUCUCAUCUCUAGCUGGCUGGUUCAACUCAGCUGUUCUGGUUCAAACUCCUCUCCAAGCUAACUGACUCAAUCUGCCUUCUUUCAGCUUCUCACUGAAUUGCUCUGCUUGGUGAAGUGGAAACUCAAGGGUUCUUUGGAAAGUCGGUUGGAUGGUGUUUUGCUGGGGCAAACACGUGAAGGAACAUUUUGUUAGAACAUACAUACAUCCCUUUAUGUAUAUGUAAGUACAUGCUGAAGCAGACAUAGGAGAGAGGGUGUUCUGCUAAAGCAAGCACGUGAAAGGACAAAUGAUGAAAGAUUCGUUGCUAACAACACGAAUGUAUUGGUCCACCGUACAUUGUUGAGCUGCAUUUCUCAGGACUCCAUAGAGAGAAACUCAUCAAAACACUUCUGGUGGUGAGUUGCAGUUUCUUGCUGCUUCUGAGGACUCGGGCUAAUUGGAUACAUAUGCUGAGCCAAGGCACGGUGAUGUUUGGAGGGUAUAAAUAGGACUCCGUGGAGUGAUGGAGACAGAACUUGGCUUGCUGGUACAGCUAGCUGUGCAAUGCUUGUGGGUCUCGAGUCUUAGCUGAUCUUCGCUUCCCUGAGAGAGGGCUGAAAACUUCUUUUGGUGUUCCUCCAGGUCUCUCCUGCGACUCAAGCCAAGGCUGAGGCCUGGCUGUCUCUGGUAGGUCGUGUCACCGCUGUUGCUAACUUGACUCUGCAGAACAGGACUGCUGGUGCAUCUGUAAGGUGUUUGCUAGUGGAUUGAGCUGCUGCUGCCUGCUAACCUGUGAACUCAACUGCUGAUUUCUAAUAACACAGAUGGGAGUCGCUCCAAAGAACCUUUCUAAGCAGGUCCACUCCCCUCCCCCCAUCCUUUCCUUUCCACCACCUCCGGUGGGUAGUGGGUUACAAGGAAAGAUAAAGCAUUUAAGAACAAUCAUUAAAAAUAGGCCUCAAAGGGGUUGGGGAUUUAGCUCAGUGGUAGAGUGCUUGCCUAGCAAGCGCAAGGCCCUGGGUUCGGUCCCCAGCUCCGAAAAAAAGAAAAAAGAAAAAAAAAUAGGCCUCAAAUUAAUUCUGACAAUUUGUUCUUGUUGGUAUUCUCUCUAAGCUCCACCCCCACAGCUACCUGGGAACAGCCAGGUAUGCUCCGCCCCACAGUUCCCUGGCAACAGCCAGCUGUGCCUGACUAUAUAAGAGACUGCUUGCCCCUUUCUCUUCCUCUUACCCUCUCUCUUCUUCUUCUUCUUCUUCUUCUUCUUCUUCUUCUUCUUCUUCUUCUUCUUCUUCUUCUUCUUCUUCUUCUUCUUUUUUUUACAUUUAUUUAUUCCAUGUAUGAGAGUACACAGUUGCUGACUUCAGACACACCAGAAGAGGGCAUCAGAUCCCAUAACAGAUGGUUGUGAGCCACCAUGUGGUUGCUGGGAAUUGAACUCAGGACCUCUGGAAGAGCAGGUAGUGCUCUUAACCGCUGAGCCAUCUCUCCAGCCCUACCCUCUCUCUUCUCUCUCUUUUUUCUCUUCUUUCUCUCACCCCUUCCCCUUGUCUCGUUCCCCCAUUAAAUCUCACCAUGUGGAACUGUGUUGGUGUUGGUUUGGUGUGCUCAAUCCGGACAGGCGUGGGCCAAUAUCUGAUAUUUAAUAACAUCAGUUCUGAUCUUCUGGCCCCUUAGUCUCUGGCUUCAGCUGCCUCUGCCGCCCUGCACUGAACUGCAUGAACUCAUGAAUGAACUCAACCCCCACUGCACUGCACUCACUGACUCCCAGAUGACUGGCCAAGCUGACUAUUGCCUCUUCCUGCACUGCUCUUUUAAGUCCCACUCUUUUUCUCUCUGUCUCAUGAGAGCUGGGUGUAUCCUGUCUCUGACCCACUCUGCCAAAUCAUUCCCUGAUUUGUCACUUUCUCUGUUCCUCAAGUAGACAUCUCUUUCAAACAUGGCUGCUUCCUUCUCUCAACUGACCUUACUUUCAUUGUUUGGGAUUAAAGGUGGUACUAAAAGAGUGUCUGCAUUCCAGCCAGAUCACAUAGACCUAGAAGGUCUUUGGAUGUGAUCCCUUGACAGAGCAGCCAUGUUGCUAGAUUAAAAUUCCUCUAGGACAGUAUGAAAACCUAAUACAGAAGAAACCUCUUGAAAUAUACACAUAUUUGAAGGUGGUCAAAAUGAAAUCGCUGAAUAGUGGGGGAGACAGAGCUCUAACUGGACAUCUCUUGUCAUCAAAGGAAGCUUCCAAUACCAGGAUUGGGUUAUAUCUAAGUUGUUAGCCAAAGAGACCCCAUGGAACACACACAUACAAAUCAAGUUGUCGUCGCCAAGACUGUAAGUUGUUCUCCACAAACUGAUGGCAUGGCCCCAUGGCUGAAGAAAGCACAACUCACUGAACACGGAGAAGUCGAGCAGUGCUGUCCCCCUCCCUCUAGACAUCUAGAUUCUUUGGUACAGGAAGGCACUCUGCACACCACCGAAGGGGAAGUGUAACCACCAACCCUCUGAUCUACACCGGUGUCCUGCCUGCCAGAUACACUAGUGCAAUGGUGCCACAGAGCCUGCGGGGUAACCGACCCGUGUCUGAUUUGACGUAAGGCCCCCUCCAUGAGAUGAAACCCACACCUGACACUGCUGGGGUGACCAACAACCUGAAACUAGAUAGACCAGGGACCUGGGGCAGAAUUAAUACGACUAUUCUAAACCAACAAACAAAAACAAGCAAACUGCAAGAAGAAGAACAACAACAACAAGAACAACAAUGAAGAGUAGUAAUAAAAUGACUCCCAAGAGUAUCCUAAGGGAUUCACUGAAGAUUAAUUAUGAUGGAGAAAAAUGAAAGCCGCAGUGAGAUUUCACCUCACCACCGUUAGGACAACUAUGAUAAGCCGAAUGGGAAGAAUCAGAAGACCUAAGUGUUGACAAGAACGUAAAGAAAUGGUGGUGGUGACACCUUUAAUCCAGCAGCACUCUGAAGGCAGAGGCAGCACUUGGUGGAAUUUCCCCGCUGGAGUUGGGACCUGUGCUGAGAAAUGAAAACCUAUGCCUUUGGCUGCUGGCACGUGGUGAUCUACGUCAUCAGUCACGUCCAGGGGUCGGACUUAUGAUUUUUGCCUUUAUAAGCCUGCUGCUUUGCAAUAAAGUUGAGCCUUGAUCAGAACUUUGUCUUGGCUCCACUCUUCUCUCGUCCUUGUCCUUUAAUCCCCAGACUCCCAUUUGAGGUACCUAUGUUGACUGGUGAUCAAGGGUUGAC